CCAAUAGCGUAUAUUAAAGUUGUUGCAGUUAAAAAGCUCGUAGUUGAAUUUCGGGAUCAAUUUAUUGGUCGUGCUAUUGUACGUACUGGUAUUAUUGGUUUCUCCUUUCUGACGAACUAUAAUGCCAUUAAUUUGGUGUUUUAGGGAAUCAGGACUGUUACUUUGAAAAAAUUAGAGUGUUUAAAGCAGGCUCACGCUUGAAUACAUUAGCAUGGAAUAACGGAAUAGGACGUUUGAUUCUAUUUUGUUGGUUUCUAGGAUCGACGUAAUGAUUAAUAGGGUUAGUUGGGGGCAUUAGUAUUCAAUUGUCAGAGGUGAAAUUCUUGGAUUUAUUGAAGACUAACUACUGCGAAAGCAUUUGCCAAGGAUGUUUUCAUUAAUCAAGAACGAAAGUUAGGGGAUCGAAGACGAUCAGAUACCGUCGUAGUCUUAACCAUAAACUAUGCCGACUAGGGAUCGGAUGAUGUUAAUUUUUUAAUGACUCAUUCGGCGCCUUACG
rnacentral:rRNA from 1 species